rnacentral:rRNA from 1 species
AUUGAACGCUGGCGGCAGGCCUAACACAUGCAAGUCGAGCGGGCAGCGGACGGGUGAGUAAUGUCUGGGAAACUGCCUGAUGGGGGGGGAUAACUACUGGAAACGGUAGCUAAUACCGCAUAUCAUCAGAUUUGCACAGAUGGGAUUAGCUAGUAGGUGGGGUAACGGCUCACCUAGGCGACGAGCCCUAGCUGGUCUGAGAGGAUGACCAGCCACACUGGAACUGAGACACGGUCCAGACUCCUACGGGAGGCAGCAGUGGGGAAUAUUGCACAAUGGGCGCAAGCCUGAUGCAGCCAUGCCGCGUGGAUGAAGAAGGCCUUCGGGUUGUAAAGUACUUUCAGCGGGGAGGCGUUACCCGCAGAAGAAGCACCGGCUAACUCCGUGCCAGCAGCCGCGGUAAUUC